rnacentral:rRNA from 1 species
UACGUAGGGGGCUAGCGUUGUCCGGAAUCAUUGGGCGUAAAGAGCGUGUAGGCGGCCCGGUAAGUCCGCUGUGAAAGUCGGGGGCUCAACCCUCGAAUGCCGGUGGAUACUGUCGGGCUAGAGUGCGGAAGAGGCGAGUGGAAUCCUGGUGUAGCGGUGAAAUGCGCAGAUAUCAGGAGGAACACCGAUUGCGAAGGCAGCUCGCUGGGACGUCACUGACGCUGAGACGCGAAAGCGUGGGGAGCAAACAGG